CCCCAGAUGUUGCUGAACUACAACUCCCAUGAUUCUUUCAAUUAAACAGAUAGCCAUGGAAUCAUGGGAGUUGUAGUUUAGCAACAUCUGGGG
rnacentral:miRNA from 1 species